rnacentral:rRNA from 1 species
CCAGUCUUGCGUGUGGUGGAUUAGUGGCGAACGGGUGAGUAACACGUGAGUAACCUGCCCUUGACUCUGGGAUAAGCCUGGGAAACUGGGUCUAAUACUGGAUAUGACUUCUCACCGCAUGGUGGGGGGUGGAAAGAUUUAUUGGUCUUGGAUGGACUCGCGGCCUAUCAGCUUGUUGGUGAGGUAAUGGCUCACCAAGGCGACGACGGGUAGCCGGCCUGAGAGGGUGACCGGCCACACUGGGACUGAGACACGGCCCAGACUCCUACGGGAGGCAGCAGUGGGGAAUAUUGCACAAUGGGCGCAAGCCUGAUGCAGCGACGCCGCGUGAGGGAUGACGGCCUUCGGGUUGUAAACCUCUUUCAGUAGGGAAGAAGCGAAAGUGACGGUACCUGCAGAAGAAGCGCCGGCUAACUACGUGCCAGCAGCCGCGGUAAUACGUAGGGCGCGAGCGUUAUCCGGAAUUAUUGGGCGUAAAGAGCUCGUAGGCGGUUUGUCGCGUCUGCCGUGAAAGUCCGGGGCUUAACCCCGGAUCUGCGGUGGGUACGGGCAGACUAGAGUGCAGUAGGGGAGACUGGAAUUCCUGGUGUAGCGGUGAAAUGCGCAGAUAUCAGGAGGAACACCGAUGGCGAAGGCAGGUCUCUGGGCUGUAACUGACGCUGAGGAGCGAAAGCAUGGGGAGCGAACAGGAUUAGAUACCCUGGUAGUCCAUGCCGUAAACGUUGGGCACUAGGUGUGGGGGACAUUCCACGUUUUCCGCGCCGUAGCUAACGCAUUAAGUGCCCCGCCUGGGGAGUACGGCCGCAAGGCUAAAACUCAAAGAAUUGACGGGGGCCCGCACAAGCGGCGGAGCAUGCGGAUUAAUUUCGAUGCAACGCGAAGAACCUUACCAAGGCUUGACAUGAUUCCUGACCGCCGUAGAGAUACGGUUCCCCUUUUGGGGCAGUUCACAGGUGGUGCAUGGAUUUUCGUCAGCUCGUGUC